UCACUUGGUGGCCAAAUUAUAAAAGUGAUGAACGCAUAAAUAGAGCUAUCCAAAAAUGUGAAGAGCCAGGAGCAGACUGGAAAAAGUUUGAUGUUCGAGUGAUUACCUUAAAGCAAGAGACAAACUGAGGGCCUCACUGACCUGUAAUACCUCUGAGUUACAAACAGAUGAUGAGGAAGAAGUCAAUAGGAAGAGAAAAAUUAAGCCAAGGCAAAUCUUUGGUGAUACAGAUUCUGACAGUGAGUCAGAGGGUGGUAUAAAGAGGAGAUACCACAAUCUCCACUUGUCUACUGCCACCUAUUCCUCCACCUACUCCUGACAUACCAUCAACUGAAACCUGACAGACUUCCGUUAGACCUCUGCCAGAUCUGAGGCAGACUGAAUCUUCUUCUUUCACUGGUAUAUUCCUGCAUUUCCGUUAAAUUAUUUUGUAAGCAAUGUUUUUGUUAAUAUCUAGCUGUUUAGUUGUAACAUUAACAUAACAGUAUUAAGUCAAGUUACUAUUAUGGGACUGAUGCAGUUAAUGUAACUUCAUGUGCUCAGUGACUCUAACCGGUUUUAGCUGGUCA
ensembl:lncRNA